GUCGGGAUAGCGAAGCCUGAAUUUUUGGCUAUGUCUAACGCGAUCGCCUCGAAAGCGAUUGUCCUUCGGGACACGUGGGUUCAAAUCCCACUCCCGGCG
rnacentral:tRNA from 1 species